CUAAUUCCGACUGGGACUCAUUCCAGCAUGAUGAUGCAAGAGGACAAUGGUUGAACCAAUAAGCACAUUAUUUUUCAUUUUAUUAAGUAUUUCAGUGUGGAGUCUAUGUUGAGGUGAGGGGACUAUGUUUCAUGAAGCCAUUAGAAGACUGUUGCUGACCUCUUUUGAAUGCAGUCUGGCAGUAACCUAACUAUCAGAGGCAGAGAAUCUCUCUUUCCCUGCUAGUGUCAACUGGAUGAACCAGGCAGGCUGUAUUGUUCCAUAAAGAAGUCAGCCUUAGUUGGUAUCAAGAUUGACCUGGGCCAUCAUUCAAACAAUGAGAUGCCACCUGUGCAUAUUUCCAAAAUAUUUGAGCAUAUAAUGACAAUAAAAUCUGGCCUUUAUUUAAUUGUUUAUUAUAUUAUAUUCUUAGCUAAAAAUAUUACUAUAUAUUAGUAGUAACCAUAUGUCACCUAUACGCUGGGAGUCAGGAA